AGCAGCCGCGGUAAUUCCAGCUCCAAUAGCGUAUAUUAAAGUUGUUGCAGUUAAAAAGCUCGUAGUUGAAUUUCGGGAUCAAUAUGUUGGUCGUGCCUCGGUACGUACUAGCAUAUUGGUUUCUCCUUUCUGAAGAACCAUGAUGUCAUUUAUUUGGUGUCGUGGGGAAUCAGGACUGUUACUUUGAAAAAUUAGAGUGUUUAAAGCAGGCUCACGCUUGAAUACAUUAGCAUGGAAUAAUGAAAUAGGACGUUUGAUUCUAUUUUGUUGGUUUCUAGGAUCGACGUAAUGAUUAAUAGGGAUAGUUGGGGGCAUUAGUAUUCAAUUGUCAGAGGUGAAAUUCUUGGAUUUAUUGAAGACUAACUACUGCGAAAGCAUUUGCCAAGGAUGUUUUCAUUAAUCAAGAACGAAAGUUAGGGGAUCGAAGACGAUCAGAUACCGUCGUAGUCUUAACCAUAAAACUAUGCCGACUAGGGAUCGGAUGAUGUUAAUUUUAAUGACUCAUUC
rnacentral:rRNA from 1 species